GCCUACCAUGGUUUUAACGGGUAACGGGGAAUUAGGGUUCGAUUCCGGAGAGGGAGCCUGAGAAACGGCUACCACAUCCAAGGAAGGCAGCAGGCGCGCAAAUUACCCAAUCCCGAUACGGGGAGGUAGUGACAAUAAAUAACAAUACAGGGCUCUUAUGGGUCUUGUAAUUGGAAUGAGUACAAUUUAAAUCUCUUAACGAGGAACAAUUGGAGGGCAAGUCUGGUGCCAGCAGCCGCGGUAAUUCCAGCUCCAAUAGCGUAUAUUAAAGUUGUUGCAGUUAAAAAGCUCGUAGUUGAAUUUCGGAAUUUUUUUAUCGGUUGAAUCAACAGGUUCGUACUGAUUUUAAGAAUUUCUACCUUCUGGAGAACCUUAAUGUCAUUUAUUUGAUGUUUUGGGAAACCAGGACUGUUACCUUGAAAAAAUUAGAGUGUUUAAAGCAGGCUUAUGUCUGAAUAUAUUAGCAUGGAAUAAUGAAAUAGGACGGCAUGGUUCUAUUUUGUUGGUUUCUAGGAUCACCGUAAUGAUUAAUAGGGAUAGUUGGGGGCAUUAGUAUUCAAUUGUCAGAGGUGAAAUUCUUGGAUUUAUUGAAGACUAACUUCUGCGAAAGCAUUUGCCAAGGAUGUUUUCAUUAAUCAAGAACGAAAGUUAGGGGAUCGAAGACGAUCAGAUACCGUCGUAGUCUUAACCAUAAACUAUGCCGACUAGGAAUCGGACGAAGUUAAUUUUUUAAUGACUCGUUCGGCGCCUUACG
rnacentral:rRNA from 1 species